rnacentral:rRNA from 1 species
AACGAACGCUGGCGGCGUGCUUAACACAUGCAAGUCGAACGCGAAAGGGACUUCGGUCCUGAGUAAAGUGGCGCACGGGUGAGUAACGCGUAGAUAACCUGUCUUCAUGUCUGGAAUAAUACGCCGAAAGGGGUACUAAUACCGGAUAUUCUUGCUUUUCAUAAGUUAUGCAAGCAAAGGUGGCCUCUGCAUAUGCUACUGCAUGAAGAGGGGUCUGCGUACCAUUAGCUAGUAGGUGGGGUAAUGGCCUACCUAGGCGACGAUGGUUAGCGGGUCUGAGAGGAUGAUCCGCCACACUGGCACUGGAACACGGGCCAGACUCCUACGGGAGGCAGCAGUGAGGAAUAUUGCGCAAUGGGGGAAACCCUGACGCAGCGACGCCGCGUGAGUGAGGGAAAAGGCCUUCGGGUCGUAAAGCUCUGUCAAGAGGAAAGAAGUGUACAAUGGCUAAUACCUGUUGUAUUUGACGGUACCUCUAAAGGAAGCACCGGCUAACUCCGUGCCAGCAGCUGC